AACGCGAAGAACCUUACCAAGCCUUGACAUCCAAUGAACUUUCUAGAGAUAGAUUGGUGCCCUCGGGAACAUUAAGACAGAUGCUGCAUGGCUGUCGUCAGCUCGUGUCGUGAAAUGUUAGGUUAAGUCCCGUAACGAGCGCAACCCUUGUCCUUAGUUACCAGCACGUAAUGGUGGGCACUCUAAGGAGACUGCCGGUGACAAACCGGAGGAAGGUGGGGAUGACGUCAAGUCAUCAUGGCCCUUACGGCCUGGGCUACACACGUGCUACAAUGGUCGGUACAAAGGGUUGCCAAGCCGCGAGGUGGAGCUAAUCCCAUAAAACCGAUCGUAGUCCGGAUCGCAGUCUGCAACUCGACUGCGUGAAGUCGGAAUCGCUAGUAAUCGCGAAUCAGAAUGUCGCGGUGAAUACGUUCCCGGGUCUUGUACACACCG
rnacentral:rRNA from 1 species